rnacentral:rRNA from 1 species
UACGAAGGGGGCUAGCGUUGUUCGGAUUUACUGGGCGUAAAGCGCACGUAGGCGGGUUGUUAAGUCAGGGGUGAAAUCCUGGAGCUCAACUCCAGAACUGCCUUUGAUACUGGCAACCUAGAGGCUGGAAGAGGUUAGUGGAAUUCCCAGUGUAGAGGUGAAAUUCGUAGAUAUUCGCAAGAACACCAGUGGCGAAGGCGGCUGACUGGUCCGGUUCUGACGCUGAGGCGCGAAAGCGUGGGGAGCAAACAGG